AUUGAACGCUGGCGGCAGGCCUAACACAUGCAAGUCGAGCGGUAGCACAGAGAGCUUGCUCUCGGGUGACGAGCGGCGGACGGGUGAGUAAUGUCUGGGAAACUGCCUGAUGGAGGGGGAUAACUACUGGAAACGGUAGCUAAUACCGCAUAACGUCGCAAGACCAAAGUGGGGGACCUUCGGGCCUCAUGCCAUCAGAUGUGCCCAGAUGGGAUUAGCUAGUAGGUGGGGUAAUGGCUCACCUAGGCGACGAUCCCUAGCUGGUCUGAGAGGAUGACCAGCCACACUGGAACUGAGACACGGUCCAGACUCCUACGGGAGGCAGCAGUGGGGAAUAUUGCACAAUGGGCGCAAGCCUGAUGCAGCCAUGCCGCGUGUAUGAAGAAGGCCUUCGGGUUGUAAAGUACUUUCAGCGAGGAGGAAGGCAUUAAGGUUAAUAACCUUAGUGAUUGACGUUACUCGCAGAAGAAGCACCGGCUAACUCCGUG
rnacentral:rRNA from 1 species